GUCAUAAUAUUUCAAGAAUAAAGUCAAAGAUGUGAGGUUUCGAGAAAAAAAAUAACGAUAUUAAACGCAUAGCAAUACGGAAUUAGAGUCGUAUGUGAUACCUGCCUUUAUUAAUAAAACAAUAUGGGAGAUGUGCUCAAAAAGGCGAUUUGAAGGAAUCUCCCUCAUAUUAAAAGGCAACAUGGGGAAGAUUGUGAAUAAGCAAACUUUGGAAAAUGCAGGACUUUAAAUGCAUCACAUGUCUUUACAGGAUUUUUACAGUAUCAUACAGUAAAUCCCGGAUGCAUUUUCCGUGUAUUAUUCGUAAUGUCUGUGAAAAGGGCUACAGUUAAGUCAAUGAUCAAAUUAGAUUUGGAAGCCAGAAAUUUUGAGAAAUCAGACCAAAAUCCUUUGACAAUGGGGCAUUUGAAAAAAAGAUAACAUAACAAAUAUCAAUAAAUCAAUAACAAAAUUACAUUUGUGGGGUAUAUUAUUCAAAAUAUUUUAAUGUAGUUCUUUAACUUUGUUGGAGACAAAAUGUUAAGAGCCAUGCUGUUUGUUAAAUUAAAGAAUAAGUAAUUUGUAGACGGUCCCUCAGAGUUGAUGACGCAUUUCAAAAACGUCGACUGUUACAGAAUAACGGGUUACCAUUGAUCUAUAUAAUCAGUGAUUGCCACAAUAAAAAUAACGUAUAGUAGAAGAUAUACUUUGUAACGUUUGGACAUAUUGAUCGUGAAGGCUGCAGGAGAGAAAACACCAUGAAAAAUGUAGGAAGUCGCAAAUACGCCUUCAACUCUCUCCAGCUGAAGACUUUCCCCAAACAGUACAUGCUCUGUUUAUCAUGCAUAUGACAAUGUUAAACUCCAACAUUUUAUAGUUUUUGGUUCUGG